rnacentral:rRNA from 1 species
AUUGAACGCUGGCGGCAGGCUUAACACAUGCAAGUCGAGCGGGGUGAUGGUGCUUGCACUAUCACUUAGCGGCGGACGGGUGAGUAAUGCUUAGGAAUCUGCCUAUUAGUGGGGGACAACAUCUCGAAAGGGAUGCUAAUACCGCAUACGUCCUACGGGAGAAAGCAGGGGAUCACUUGUGACCUUGCGCUAAUAGAUGAGCCUAAGUCGGAUUAGCUAGUUGGUGGGGUAAAGGCCUACCAAGGCGACGAUCUGUAGCGGGUCUGAGAGGAUGAUCCGCCACACUGGGACUGAGACACGGCCCAGACUCCUACGGGAGGCAGCAGUGGGGAAUAUUGGACAAUGGGGGGAGCCCUGAUCCAGCCAUGCCGCGGGUGUGAAGAAGGCCUUAUGGUUGUAAAGCACUUUAAGCGAGGAGGAGGCUCUUAUGGUUAAUACCCAAGAUGAGCGGACGUUACUCGCAGAAUAAGCACCGGCUAACUCUGUGCCAGCAGCCGCGGUAA